rnacentral:snRNA from 1 species
AGCUUUGCGCAGUGGCAGUAUCGUAGCCAAUGAGGUUUAUCCGAGGCGCGAUUAUUGCUAAUUGAAAACUUUUCCCAAUACUGGAUCUUAUUUUUGAUUCAGUAUGAGGAAAUUCCUCUUUAAAGUCAUUUUU